rnacentral:lncRNA from 1 species
CCGCCAGCCUUGACCUCCCAAAGUACUGGGAUUACAGGCGUGAGCCACCGCGCCCUGCCUAUAUUUUUAUAUUUACUUUUUUUUUUACUUUUAGGUUUGGUGGUCCAUAUGAAGGUUUGUUACAUAGGUAAACACAUGUCACGGGGGUUUGUUGUACAGAUUAUUUCAUCACCCAGGUAUUAGGCCCAGUACCCAAUAGUUAUCUUUUCUGUUCCUCUCCCUCCUCCCACCCUCCACCCUCAAGUAGACUCCAGUGUCUGUUGUUUCCUUCUUACACAAAUAUCUUUGAAAAUGUAGUAGAGAAUGGAAGUUGUCACAGGAUGGUCAAAAACAUGAGACCCCUGGAGAAUUGUCUCCCAACAAAGUAAGAGUGUGGGUUAAGAUGAGUAAAGGAAUACUGACAGAUGAAUGUCUGAUUUAAGUCAAAAGUAGAAGAGAAAGCCAAUGUCCAAAACAUUAGAACUAAAGGUCAAAAGAACUAGAGGAUAAAGAUAAUAUUAGGGUCACAGAGCUAAGAAAUUUGGCUUUUGCAGACUCAGAGAAAGCCAGGUGCAGCAAUGGAGUUAUCCUAAAACCCUGAUUGUUAUUUGUUGCUGGUGUGGGUCAGGCUGGCUUAUAACAUCAAGAACAGCAUGUACAUUUUUUGCCUCCAUCUGUGUGGUGGAACUUGAAAAAUUACAUACAUUUAUUUGUGAAGAAGGUGUGGGAGCAUGUAGAGAUCAGGCAGAGCUCAGUUUAGGAUUCAACCAAGAGUUCAACUUUACUCCAUUGCCUCGUUAUUAAGGACUUAACCUCUGACAUUGCCUUAGUGAGAGAGCAUUUAUCUAUGAUGCUGCCUUCAAGGAGCGAGCUCUUCUUUGGUGUUAAUUACUAGCAUAGCAGCAGGGCCUUUCAUAGACUUCUAAGAGGGACGAACACUGUGGUCAUCAGGCUUUAAAAUAUUUUCCCCAUCAAGACUUACUAUGUAUGAUAUAGAUAACUUCUCUGCCUAUGCUCACAGGUACUUCCUUGGAGAACAGAAGCCAAAUUCUGUCAUUGUUUGUCUCAGCCCUCCCCACAGGGCAGUGAUGAGAGUACAAAUGUGGGACCUGACCCAAGAGUGACACCCUAGAACCUUAAUGAGAGAAGAUAGGGAAUCCACAGUGAAGAUGCAUUAUUUCAGAGGAGACUGGAUCAAUAUUCCUUCUUCAACCUGUCACACAGAGAAGAGAGGCGCCUCUGUUUUCCCAUCAGGGAUGAGUACAGGAAACGGCAGCAUAUUUUCCACUUAAAAACUGGCUAGGGAAUAUACAACCACUUCCAGCCAUUCUGUAUGCAGGUGAAUCUUGGUUUCCCUGUGGGCAAUGAUGUAUGGAACUUACGAACAAUAUGGGCAGAUCAACAAACAGCACAUAAAGGGGACGAGACACACACACACAGAGACAGAGAGAGAGAGAGAGUGCAAAGCAAGGCAAGGCAAGAGGAGUAAGAAGGUCAUUAUGCAAUCUUUCUCGGACUCAGCUCUCUAAUUCUUAAGAUCAGCAGUCUCAAAGUACCAUCUGUGUACUCCUGGGAGCUCCUAAGACACUUUCAAGAGCCACAGCAAAAGAGAUGAAAUUCUGCCUGAACUAUUAUCCUCCAUUUACAGUUAAGUAAACUGAGGCCCUGGAAAAUGAGGCACUUUAGUUUUAAAAGCUGCUAAAGUCUAUUGCUACAUCAUGCAGACAAUGAACAAUGAGUGUUGGAGAAUGUCCUUUCCUGCCUCUUAAUCAUUCUGAAUCGAAACUAAUGAUAAACUUCAAUCAAUGACAUUGAGGGGAUGGGUAAGGGAUAAUAUAAAGAGUCCUCUAUGCAUGCUAAUUUGUUGUUACAUGUGACCUAAGAUGGUGGUUUCUUGCUUUAAAGACCUUACUAAUCAUUACAGAGUAUUCUUAUUCUCUGCUCAAUAAUUUGGAAAUGACUUAGGUCCUGUAACUCUCUGUGUCUCUAAUUUCUGAUCUCUGUAUUCAUCCAUGCUGUCUUUAGUACAAGUAUUUAUUUAUGUAGACUUCCCUUGUUCUGUUCUUUAUGUUACAUGGAGGAAAUUCUGAGAAACUUCAUCAGUAGCACUAUGAAACUCCUUCCAUACAGAACAGUCUAGAACAGGCAUUGUCAAACUGGGCUAAAUCUGUUCUGCCAUCUGCUUUUCUAAAGAAAAUGUUGUUGGAACACAACCACGUUCAUUCAUUUCUGUAUUGUCUGUGGCAGAGAUUGACCAUCACGAUAGAGACCAUAUGAGUUGAAAAGCCUAAAACAUUUAUUACCUGGCUCUGAACAGAAAAUACUUGCUGACUUCUGGUCUGGAACAGCACUGUGUAUAUACCUCAGGUUUAAUACUGGAAGUCUCCAUUAGUCCUUCUUCAGAGGUGACUAGAGUGCACAGUCAUAAUGACAGGGCCCCAAGGACUUCUCUAACUCACACUCCCUGUCCAGUCACCUUCACUGCAACAACCAUCUUACCAAGGGGUGCUGUCACUGCUCCUGUCCACUUUCUGGCCGUCAGAUGCCUCGAGAGUUCUUCUUGCCCUUGAUAAGGAAUAAACUUGUCAGUUGCAUGUGGCAGUUUUUCAACUGAUUUGGGAGAUGAUGCAGAUUUUGCUAUUUCUUAACUUUCAAUUGUUGUGUUUUCUGGUUCUCAGUAGGGAGACAUGAAGAAAAUUGCUGAUUCCCUUCAGUUAAAUAACAGUUUAGAUUAAACCAGCAAGAACUUUUGCUCUUUAAUAAAAUGCAAAGUUACCAUGCCUUUCUCCGGCUCGAUCAUUCAUGCAUCAUAAUGUGAAUGGAGUUGUAGGAGUAUGAUGUUUAUUCUCACAAUAGGUUUAAUUCUGAGUAAAAGCACUAAUUGAAAAAUCAGAAGAAUUUUGUCUUUAAGAGCUCAUGUUAAUGCAUGCAUUCAUCCAUCUGAAUUUUGAUGAUCUCGGUUUUUUUCUGUGUAAAUUCUUAUCAGAAUGGAGUGACUCUAAAUUGCGCCCUGCUUGUAACUUUCAUGUAUGAUUUGCUCCCUUGUUGUUUACCAGCCCUUUUAAAACUACAUAGUAGAAAGAAAAUAUUUUAAACAAUGUCACAUCCAGACGGUGAUUUCUCAAAGCUUCAAAUGCAGGCUUUAAUCCUUCUCCCAGGUUAGCCAGACUCAGGCUGCUGCACAGCACUGGGGCUUUUCAGACACAUUAAGGAUUCUGGACAGGCUUCACCCCAGACACCCUUGUGCUC